CCUACGGGAGGCAGCAGUGGGGAAUAUUGCACAAUGGGCGCAAGCCUGAUGCAGCCAUGCCGCGUGUAUGAAGAAGGCCUUCGGGUUGUAAAGUACUUUCAGCGGGGAGGAAGGUGUUGAGGUUAAUAACCUCAGCAAUUGACGUUACCCGCAGAAGAAGCACCGGCUAACUCCGUGCCAGCAGCCGCGGUAAUAAUCUCUAGAGG
rnacentral:rRNA from 1 species